rnacentral:snoRNA from 1 species
UUUACGUGCUCAUAUGGCGAAAGCUUUUUCUACUAAUAUUUGUGGAGAAGACACUUAAGAUUUGUAUUUUUGUCCACCAUAGAUAGAGGCUCUGCCCGUGAUGUUCAGUCCUUUCCCGCAAGGUCAGAGAUUAGAGCUGCAAUGUGGUCUGUUCCUGCACAUUCCUACAGCUUCUCAGAGACCUGUGGACAAUGCUGAAGAGAUGGGCCAUGCAGGAAAGACCC